rnacentral:misc_RNA from 1 species
UGUUGCCAUGACAUUAGAGCAAGCAUAUGAGGCUGUUGAUUCUAUGCUUGUAGACAAUGUUUUUGGUUCUGCUGGCUCUCGAGUCAUUGUAGAGGAAUAUUUGGAAGGAGAGGAAGCAUCAUUUUUUGCUCUAGUAGAUGGUGAGCAUGCCAUACCUCUGGAAUCUGCUCAAGACCACAAACGAGUUGGAGAUGGAGAUACAGGACCAAAUACUGGUGGGAUGGGGGCAUAUUCUCCAGCUCCUGUCUUGACAAAGGAACUGCAAUCAAUGGUCAUGGAGUCUAUCAUUUUCCCUACAGUGAAGGGAAUGGCCGAAGAAGGCUGCAAGUUUGUUGGGGUUCUGUAUGCUGGGCUCAUGAUCGAGAAGAAAUCUGGUUUGCCGAAGUUAAUUGAGUACAAUGUACGCUUUGGAGAUCCAGAAUGUCAGGUAUUGAUGGUCCGGUUAGAGUCUGAUUUGGUCGAAAUUUUGCUGGCAGCUUGCCAUGGGAAGCUACAUGGGAUGUCUUUGGACUGGUCCCCUGGAUCAGCCAUGGUGGUUGUAAUGGCAAGUAAUGGCUAUCCUGGCAACUACCAGAAAGGAACAAUCAUCCAUAAGCUUGAGGAAGCAGAGCAAGUUGCUCCUUCAGUCAA